rnacentral:lncRNA from 1 species
GGUUUGGAACUCAGGGCUAUCUGUACGUUCCAUCACUCCAUAGAUCUUGGGGAAGAAGCCAGAUUUUCUCUCUGACUUCUGCCACUCUCUAGUAUUCCAACCAUUUUAAUUCAUACAGUCAGACACUCUGACAGUACAAUAACUGAGCAUUCAGUGUGCAAAGCAUGCAGUACUUUCCUAUAUCAUUUCAUCUAGUCUUCCAUCAGACUGAAGUUUCUGUGUAGGGGUCUCAUCCAGGGUCAAUUGAUAGGAAGAGUUCAGUGACCCUGGGUGUGAGGACCUGCCAUUCCAGUUCUUAAGAAUUGGGGCUCAUAGCUGGGCAUGGUGGUAUGUGCCUGUAAUCCCAACAUUCAGGAGGCCAUGGCAGGAAGAUCACCAUGAGUUCUAGGCCAGCCUGAACUACAUAGAGAGACCCUGUCUCACCCCCCUCCUCAAUAAAAAAGCUUGGUAUCCUCAUGCAUUCUUCAAAAUCAAUGACAUUUUUAAGUGCUGUACCACCACCCAGCCAUUACCAAGGAGGUAGACAUUUAUGUACUGAUAUGUAAGGUUUUCCUAGAGAUGUUGGUUAACGGGAAAGGGAGGCGCAGAUAGAUUAUUGUGGUGUGCUCCAGGGGCCCUACAUAGCCAUUUACCUCUCUUAGUGGAGAAGAUUUCUGGAUUGCAGACAACUGAUAACAGUGAUUCCCCUCCUACAAAGAGAAUGAGAUGCCAGGAAAUCCGGGGUAUGGGAAAUAUUCCAUACACACAUUUAUAUCUUUUAGAUUUUGUAUCAUGUGAAUAUAUUUUCUAUUAGAAAAGGAAAACUAAAUAUAAAGACUGAGCCUUGGAGUAUGAAGACAGAUGACACUGAGAAUAUCCCUCAAGGUGCUGCUGGUGGUAUUUGGAUGCCCUUAGCCCCUUCUGACCUUUAAAGACAUCAUGACCUAGACUACUGGAUCAGAAGAGCUCUCAAGAUCAUCAUGCAAGCCUCUCAUUUGAGGAAGAUAGAAAGACAAGUUCAAGAAGAGCCUGACUUUGCAUAGUGCGUUAGUAACAGUGUAUAUUAGUCAGCUUUCUGUUGCUAUGUCAAAAUACUUGAGCAAACAACUUAAAAGAAGGAAAACUUUAUUUUUGGCUCAGAGGCUUUCAAGCCCUAUCAUGGCUUGUAUCUAGAUGUUCCCCCAAAGCCCCAUGUGAUUAUAGGUGGGGCUUUUCAGAGGUGGCUGGACUAAUGUGUAUGAUGCUGGGAUUAAGUGUGUGAUGCUGGGAUCAAGGGUGUGUGAUUACCAAAUUAGUCCACUGAUUGGUUUGGCAUAGUUCUGGGUGUGGAUAAUAGGAAGACCCUCCCUGGGUGUGAGUGCUACCUGCCCUAAGACGGUGGUAGCCUGGAUAAAAUAUAAGAAACAUAAAGAAGGUUGUUGGUUAUUGGUUGAGCUUGCUGCUUCACUGCUUUUCUGCCUUCUGCCUGCCAUGAACUGUUUCUCCUGGGUGAUGCUGCUCUGCCAUACUGCCGUGCUUUGGAGCCAACCAAUUAUAGACUGAAACCUCCACAAACGUG